UAGAUGCGAGAGUAGAGCAUAUCAAUAAGCGGAGGAAAAGAAACUAACAAGGAUUCCCUUAGUAACGGCGAGUGAAGCGGGAAGAGCUCAAAUUUGAAAUCUUCAAGGUUUUACCUUGACGAAUUGUAGUUUAAAGAAGUGUUUUCUGUUGGAGUUUUGGUAAAAGUUCUUUGGAAUAGGACAUCAUAGAGGGUGAGAAUCCCGUAUUUGACCAUUAUUUCCAGCUGUGUGAUACACUUUCAAAGAGUCGGAUUGUUUGGGAAUGCAGUCCAAAAUGGGUGGUAAAUUUCAUCUAAAGCUAAAUAUUGGCGAGAGACCGAUAGCGAACAAGUACCGUGAGGGAAAGAUGAAAAGGAACUUUGAAAAGAGAGUUAAACAGUACGUGAAAUUGUCAAAAGGGAAGCGUUUGACACCAGUGUUGUUUUCUCGAAAAUCAAUUAAAAAUGAUGGGAUUUUGUGUUGUAUUGACUUUAUCAGCCUUCUGCACUUUUUUCUUAUCUUUUUUAAUGCACUUUUCGUUUAACAAGUCAACAUCAAUUUCUUUUGUUGUAAAAGAGUCAUUGGAAGGUGGCUUUUUCUUCGGAAAAAGUGUUUAUAGCCUUUGGCUUCUGCAAUCGGAGAGAUUGAGGUCUGCAGCGUAGAUCCUUCGGGGUUAGAUACAUUUGUGCUAAGCUAUAGUUCUUUAUAGACAACUUGUUGACUAUAAUCAAUCCUGUAACUUACUCGCUUAUGCUAUUUUACCUACGCUUAGGAUGUUGACACACGCGCGUGCUCG
rnacentral:rRNA from 1 species